GCCGCAGCGGAGCCGGAGCCGGCCCGGAGCGAGCGGAGCCGAGCGGAGCCAUGGCCGCGGGGCCGCCCGGCAGCCGCCGCCUCCUGCCGCUGCUGCUGCUGCUGCUGGGGCCGGCGCUGGGGCCGGCGCUGGGCCAGGGCCUGGGGCAGACGCGCUUCAUCUGCACCUCGGUGCCGCUGGACGGGGACGUGUGCGCGGCCUCGGCGCUGGGCACCGGCUCGGCCGAGGAGCUGAAGGGCACCGUGCUGCAGCUGCGGGAGACGGUGCUGCAGCAGAAGGAGACCAUCAUGAACCAGAAGGAGACGAUCCGCGAGCUCACGGCCAAGCUGGGCCGCUGCGAGAGCCAGAGCGUGCUGGACCUGCCCGGCGAGGGGAAGGGCAGGAAGGGCUUUUCCAAGAACACCAUGGGCGACCUGUCACGGCCGGCCGCCGCCGAGACCCUCAGCCAGCUGGGGCAGACGCUGCAGUCCCUGAAAACCCGGCUGGAGAACCUGGAGCAGUUCAGCAGGAUGAACUCCUCCAGCCAGACCAACAACCUGAAGGACAUCCUGCAGAACAAGAUCGAUGACCUGGAGAAGCAGGUGCUGUCGCGGGUGAACAGCCUGGAGGAGGGCAAGCUCAGCCCCCGCAACGAGUCCGAGGAGCGCGGCAAGAUCGAGAGCACCCUCACCUCGCUGCACCAGCGCAUCAGCGACCUGGAGAAAGGCCAGAAGGACAACCGGCCCCCGGACAGGUUCCAGCUCACCUUCCCCCUGCGCACCAACUACAUGUACGCCAAGGUGAAGAAGAGCCUGCCCGAGAUGUACGCCUUCAGCAUCUGCAUGUGGAUCAAAUCCAGCGCCUCCCCCGGCAUGGGCACCCCCUUCUCCUACGCCGUGCCCGGGCAGGCCAACGAGCUGGUGCUCAUCGAGUGGGGCAACAACCCCAUGGAGAUCCUCAUCAAUGACAAGGUGGCCAAGCUGCCCUUUGCCAUCAACGACGGCAAGUGGCACCACAUCUGUGUCACCUGGACCACGCGGGACGGCGUGUGGGAAGCCUACCAGGACGGCACGCAGACGGGCAACGGCGAGAACCUGGCCCCCUACCACCCCAUCAAGCCCCAGGGCGUCCUGGUGCUGGGCCAGGAGCAGGACACGCUGGGCGGAGGGUUCGACGCCACGCAGGCCUUCGUGGGGGAGCUGGCCCACUUCAACGUGUGGGACCGCAAGCUGAGCCCGGGGGAGGUGUACGGCCUGGCCACCUGCAGCUCCAAGGCACUCGCGGGCAACGUCAUCGCCUGGGCUGAGGCCAACAUCGACAUCUACGGCGGGGCCACCAAGUGGACUUUCGAGGCCUGUCGCCAGCUCAACUAGGGCCACGGACAAGCGAGAGAAACCUCCUCAGCGGGUUCUUUUAUUUAUUUUUUUCUCCUCCUUUUUUUGCGCAAAAACAACCGAGAACGAAGCCACCCGACUUGUCCCGGGAGCAGGGAUGCCCCGGCAGCGGGGCGCCCGCCCCCGGAGCCCCACGACCCUCCGGUUUGUGUCUUGCCAACGUCCUUCAACGCCUGCGUGCCUUGGCCUGGCGCGGCUGCGCCCCCCCGCCGCCCCCCGGCCCGGCCCCCGCUUCGCCGCCGCUUUCCUCGGCCACCGGCGCCUGAAAAGGCUGCGAGGCCCGGCCCGGAGCCCCCUCGGGGCUCCUCUCUGUCCAGCCUCAUCCCCCCGGGAGGGUGCUGCCCCCAGGGCUGGGGGGAAGUCGCGCCACCUUCCCCCGCAGCUGCGCCCCAGCCCGGGGCCGCCGCCGCAGCCGGGACCCCGAGGAGGGGCGAGCCCCCCGCUCCCCGCCCCGGAGGAGCCGCCGCCCCUCCCGGGGCAGCCCCGCGCCCCUGCCCGGCCGGCGCCGCUCCCGAGCACCACAGCCAUAGCCCCGGGCUGCGGCGGGCACCGGGGCGGGACCCCCGGCCGGACCGCCCCCGGCCCCGCUCCCCGACCUGCCGCACUCAGGUACCCCCGGCCCCGCCGCCUGCAGCCCCCCGAGGCUCCUACGCGCCGUAGCUGGUGACAAAAUAGCCUUUACCGUCCCCUCCGGCCCAGCUCCCACUGACAGAUUGCAGAAAUCACUCCCCAGCCCCCCUCCUGCCCCCCCAGGGCAGCCCUGGGCGGCAGCGGAGGAUGAGGCAGAGAAUUCACCCGGGGCUCCAGAGCCUCACGACCAACUCCAAAGAUGCGGCAAAGAGACGGGCGGAGCGGAGGGGUCCGGGGAGCCGGGAGCUCCCCCGGGCCGGGCACGGAGCCGGCCCCGGCAGCAGCACCCCCCGAGCGAGACCCCGGCACGGCUCAGGGCAGCGCAUCCCCAGCCGUGCUCCUGGUGCAAGAAAAAAAUCCCCGAACCACCGAGAGUUAACGUCAGUUCCUCCCAAGCCCCUGAUCACAUCGGCGAGCACAGGCACAACCUGCUGAGAACAACAACGAGACCGCGGCACGGGGUCAACCUCCAGCCCCAGGUGCGUUGGAUUUGCCAAAAAACCAUGAAAGGGUGUGAUGUCAACACAGUGUACAUAGUGUACAGUAGGGGAGAGAAUUAAUGUAUCUUAAUUUGUCAUUCUUUUGCUAACCAAAGCUGUACAUUUUUCCUACUCCCGGCUCUGUCUCCUUUGGGAUUUGAAGGGGUCCCGGCGCCCCGCGCAUCGGCAGUUCUGACAAUGCACUGUUUCUACGGAUUCUCAUGCUUUUUCCAUUUUAUUGCUGGGAUUACAUGAAUUGUUGACUUUAUUUUUACACAAUAAAGCGUGAAGAAAGA